rnacentral:rRNA from 1 species
GACGAACGCUGGCGGCGUGCUUAACACAUGCAAGUCGAACGGAAAGGCCCUGCUUUUGUGGGGUGCUCGAGUGGCGAACGGGUGAGUAACACGUGAGUAACCAGCCCUUGACUUUGGGACAACUUCAGGAAACUGGGGCUAAUACCGGAUAGGAGCUCCUGCUGCAUGGUGGGGGUUGGAAAGUUUCGGCGGUUGGGGAUGGACUCGCGGCUUAUCAGCUUGUUGGUGGGGUAGUGGCUUACCAAGGCUUUGACGGGUAGCCGGCCUGAGAGGGUGACCGGCCACAUUGGGACUGAGAUACGGCCCAGACUCCUACGGGAGGGAGCAGUGGGGAAUAUUGCACAAUGGGCGGAAGCCUGAUGCAGCAACGCCGCGUGCGGGAUGACGGCCUUCGGGUUGUAAACCGCUUUCGCCUGUGACGAAGCGUGAGUGACGGUAAUGGGUAAAGAAGCACCGGCUAACUACGUG